GAUGAACGCUGGCGGCGUGCCUAAUACAUGCAAGUCGAGCGAACGGACGAGAAGCUUGCUCUUCUGAUGUUAGCGGCGGACGGGUGAGUAACACGUGGAUAACCUACCUAUAAGACUGGGAUAACUUCGGGAAACCGGAGCUAAUACCGGAUAAUAUUUUGAACCGCAUGGUUCAAAAGUGAAAGACGGCUUUGCUGUCACUUAUAGAUGGAUCCGCGCUGCAUUAGCUAGUUGGUAAGGUAACGGCUUACCAAGGCAACGAUGCAUAGCCGACCUGAGAGGGUGAUCGGCCACACUGGAACUGAGACACGGUCCAGACUCCUACGGGAGGCAGCAGUAGGGAAUCUUCCGCAAUGGGCGAAAGCCUGACGGAGCAACGCCGCGUGAGUGAUGAAGGUCUUCGGAUCGUAAAACUCUGUUGUUAGGGAAGAACAUAUGUGUAAGUAACUGUGGACAUCUUGACGGUACCUAAUCAGAAAGCCACGGCUAACUACGUG
rnacentral:rRNA from 1 species